rnacentral:rRNA from 1 species
GCGAUGUACGUGCCAGACGCGGGGGGUAUACUUAGGGUGCAAGCGUUGUCCGGAAUUCUUGGGCGGAAAGUGGUGUUAGGCUACCAUUUAAGUUUGGUCUUAAAGACCGGUGCUCAACCCCGGGAGUGGACUGAAUACUGGAUGGCGAGAGGAUGUCAGAGGAAAGUGGAAUUCCCAGUGUAGCGGUGAAAUGCGUAGAUAUUGGGAGGAACACCAGUGGCGAAAGCGACUUUCUGGGGCAUUCCUGACGCUGAGGCUCGAAAGCUCGGGGAGCAAACAGGAUUAGAUACCCUUGUAGUC